rnacentral:rRNA from 1 species
UACGUAGGGGGCAAGCGUUGUCCGGAAUUAUUGGGCGUAAAGAGCGUGUAGGCGGCCCGGUAAGUCCGCUGUGAAAGUCCAGGGCUCAACCCUGGAAUGCCGGUGGAAACUGUCGGGCUAGAGUCCGGAAGAGGCGAGUGGAAUUCCUGGUGUAGCGGUGAAAUGCGCAGAUAUCAGGAGGAACACCAAUGGCGAAGGCAGCUCGCUGGGACGGUACUGACGCUGAGACGCGAAAGCGUGGGGAGCAAACAGG